rnacentral:lncRNA from 10 species
CUGAGUUUAAGAGGUUUUGGCCUAAAUAGGUUUGCAUUUUGAGUGUUUUUUCUAUAUUUAUUAGGAUUACCAUGUGGUUUUCCUCCUUUAAAAGCCUUUUGUUGUAGUUAAAUCUUUCUUGAACUCCUGGGAUAAGAUAUAAGUCAGCGUGAUGUAUUUAUUUUCAUAAAUGAUUAGUUUGUGUAGUCUAUUAUUUAAAUGUUUGCAUUUAUGUGCAAUAGUCUAACAAUAUUUUUUUCUUAUACUAUUCUUAUACAGUUUGGGCAUCAAGAUUAUGAUAGUGUCAUAAAAUGAGUUUGGCAGCUUUCUCUUUUUCCAUUUUAUGGGAUGACUAUAAGAUAAAGAUACUGUGUAUCAGGCACUAAUAUGAGGCCUGGACUACUUCAUAAGACUUCUUGGAGAAGCAAAGGAGAUAAUAAGUAAAACAGCUAGGAAGAUCAAAGUACACCAUACUGAAGAGGGAAAACUGCAUCAAGCUUGAGGACUUCGGCUCUCGAGUGAGAAAGAUGGGAAGCUCAGCAUCAUGCGGCCAGAGGGGUCUGUAGUCUGUCCGCUUGGCAGACACCUGUUGAGUGCUAUAGAAUCAUGCAGGAUGCUCCACCUGUGUAAUCAAGAGAUAGGUAAGAGGUAGCCAAGUUUAUAACAUUUCCACAACAACUAGGGUUACAAUAAUUAUGCCAUAACCAAGUAUGUAAUUUUUUUGAGACAGGGCAACUCUACUAUUUCAGUCUUUCAUAUGUAAUUACCCUAUGCAUUAUUAUUAAAUCUCUCACUUUCAGAGCAUUUACCCUGUGCCAGGCCCUGAAAUAAGUGCUUUACAUAUGUUA